AUCAGUCUGAUGGAGCACGCCGCGUGAGUGAAGAAGGUUUUCGGAUCGCAAAGCUCUGUUGUUGGUGAAGAAGGAUAGAGGUAGUAACUGGCCUUUAUUUGACGGUAAUCAACCAGAAAGUCACGGCUAACUACGUGCCAGCAGCCGCGGUAAUACGUAGGUGGCAAGCGUUGUCCGGAUUUAUUGGGCGUAAAGCGAGCGCAGGCGGAAGAAUAAGUCUGAUGUGAAAGCCCUCGGCUUAACCGAGGAACUGCAUCGGAAACUGUUUUUCUUGAGUGCAGAAGAGGAGAGUGGAACUCCAUGUGUAGCGGUGGAAUGCGUAGAUAUAUGGAAGAACACCAGUGGCGAAGGCGGCUCUCUGGUCUGCAACUGACGCUGAGGCUCGAAAGCAUGGGUAGCGAACAGGAUUAGAUACC
rnacentral:rRNA from 1 species